CUGCCUUCUGUCAUCUGCAGGCUAGCAGUCAGGUUGCUAGCUGGAACAUAAAAUAGGUGUGUAUAUGAAAUUAUGUUGAGUUGAAUUUUAGUCUAGAAAUCCCAUGAAAAUGUCAUAAUUUAAUGAAUGAGUUUGUAUGCAGGAAACACAGCAGCAGGCUGAAGUAGAGCAGGAUGAAACAGCUGCAUCUUCAGGGUUUCAGGAAACUCAGAAAUCAAGUAGGCCUAAAGAUGCCAUAGGGUAGAUUGAGGGAGAAGCAGCUGGACCUUCAGGGAUUCAGGAGACAGGCAGUGUGAGUGAGGAUGAUCCUGAAGCAGGUCAAUGUGUAGCAGUGUCAUGGACAUGGGGAGUAAGCCAUACCAGCCUGAUCCAAAAUUCAUAGAAGUACAGCAACUUCCAAACAAGAUUUUGCGGUUUCAGGCGAACUGGUACAGUCAGUAUUCAUGGCUUCACUACAGUCCAACACCGAAAAAGGUUCUUUGUUUUGAGUGUGUCAAAGCAUACACCAUAAAAAAGACCACUUUGGAAAAAAGAAUGACCCUGCCUUCUGCACAAAGGGUUUCAAUAAUUGGAAGAAUGCCACAGAUAGCUUUAGUCGCUGUUUGGAUUGUUUAAAUAGACACCAAGGACUAUCAUGAAGAAUGUUGAUGUUGGAUGCAAAACAUUUUUAUUUUUAUUUUUUCCGUUAACAAGUAAUUUCAUAGUUUGCUUUCUUUUAGUCUUUGAUCUGUUGCUUUGUAUAAUUUGUAUUUAAAUGUAAAUACAGAUCUUAAUGUAAAUAUAGAUGUUAUAUUUUAAUAAAGCACUUGGUUGUCAACAUUAAACAGUCCUUUUUUUGGGGGGGGUGGGGUGGGGUGGGUGCCCCUACCAAUAUUGAGACCAAACCUACACCCUUGCAAUUUGACAUUCUCUGGAGAACUUUAGACAAAUUAGCUGUGCUUCUCACAUUGUCUCUGUCAAUCCAUUACAGCACACACGCACACACCCCUAAUAUACCACAGCUCCAUCUAAUUGACAUUGAGAAUUACAAGUGUAUUAGACUGAACCAGGUUUUGACCUGAAUCUAAGGUGAAAUAACACUUAUGUUAUACAAACAAUUAAAUCAAUGUCCGAGCUUCCAUGUCAGUAAAAACUGCCGAGAUCGCUUAUAGUUAACUUGUAAGAGAAGUAAGCAACAAUCAUAACAUGAACCAGUCCCCUACCUGAGCCUUGUAACCAGGUAACACAGUAAACAUUGUGUCUCACUAAUGACUCCCAGAGAGAUCAGCACACUCAUAUUCUCUCACAAUUUCUCAUCAAUUCAUACUGGUUUCCUCAGUUCCACAACUUUCUAACUCCUUAAACUUCCAGAAGCAAUUGGUGGGUCGAGACUAACACCUAUCAAACUUCAUGUACUGU